AGUGAACGCUGGCGGUAGGCCUAACACAUGCAAGUCGAACGGCAGCACAGUAAGAGCCUGCUCUUACGGGUGGCGAGUGGCGGACGGGUGAGGAAUACAUCGGAAUCUACUUUUUCGUGGGGGAUAACGUAGGGAAACUUACGCUAAUACCGCAUACGACCUACGGGUGAAAGCAGGGGAUCUUCGGACCUUGCGCGAUUGAAUGAGCCGAUGUCGGAUUAGCUAGUUGGCGGGGUAAAGGCCCACCAAGGCGACGAUCCGCAGCUGGUCUGAGGGGAUGAUCAGCCGCACUGGAACUGAGACACGGUCCAGACUCCUACGGGAGGCAGCAGUGGGGAAUAUUGGACAAUGGGCGCAAGCCUGAUCCAGCCAUACCGCGUGGGUGAAGAAGGCCUUCGGGUUGUAAAGCCCUUUUGUUGGGAAAGAAAAGCAGCAGGUUAAUACCCCGCUGUUCUGACGGUACCCAAAGAAUAAGCACCGGCUAACUUCGUG
rnacentral:rRNA from 1 species